AAAGGAUGCCGGGAAACCGGUAGACCCCACCCGUGUCUAUAUACUCUUGUUGCUUUGGCAGGCCGUGGCCUUCCACCGUGGGCUCUGCCUGCGCGUGCCUGCCAGAGGACCAAACUCUGAAUUUUAGUGAUGUCUGAGUACUAUAUAAUAGUUA
rnacentral:misc_RNA from 1 species